rnacentral:lncRNA from 1 species
UUUAUUUUCUCCCUCAAAUGUUCUCUCCCUCUCACUUUAAAAAAAGAUGAAUGUCUAUCUUCUUUAAAAAAACCACAGUUCACCACCAUGCACCGCCACACCAAUUACCAUGCGUUGACAUCAUUUGGUGACUUUUCUUUCUCAAAUUUUUAGAUUUAGAUGAUUUCAACAUUAUUUUUUCGAUUCUUUUAUUAGUUUACUCUAAAUCGACCCUUAACAUUGUAGAUUUACAGAAAAAUUUUGAAGUUGCCACAUACAUUCUAUUAUCUUUGGCCGCUUCAAAAGCCACGAUUUUUUAACAUUUUAUUCUUCCUUCCCUCUUUACCCCCUCCCUAAGUUAAACAAGUAAUAAAAAGUAAACUCAUAAAAUCAUUAAAGAAAAAAUCAAUAAGCUUCAACCCCCCCCCCAACCGUUCUCUCUUCUUUCCUUCUUUUUAUUUAUUUAUUUAUUUAGUUUUGUGCGCUAUAUUGAAUAUCUCUUUUUUUAUUUUUAUUUUUUCAAAUUAAGGGAACCAAUCUCUCCUAUUUUUGCUUUCUGUUUCAGAUUUAUUUGUGAUGUGGGUAGCAUGUUGAAUAAUGGUAAAGUGUAAGUUGAAAAUUAAUGAAAUGGUGAUGGGUUUUUUGGAUUGAAGUGUCAAAUGGCUAUUUUGAGAGGAGAGUUCAUAAUAGUUAUUCCAUGAUUUUUUUCGAAUGGCACUGAAUGAGGGAUUCUAUGAAAUACUAAUACAAUUAAUCAAACUCUUGAAUAACAAGAUUGAAUGGAUUCAUUCACGAUCUGGUUGGCUAUGACAACCAACCAAAC